GAUGAACGCUGGCGGCGUGCCUAAUACAUGCAAGUCGAGCGAAUGGAUUAAGAGCUUGCUCUUAUGAAGUUAGCGGCGGACGGGUGAGUAACACGUGGGUAACCUGCCCAUAAGACUGGGAUAACUCCGGGAAACCGGGGCUAAUACCGGAUAACAUUUUGAACCGCAUGGUUCGAAAUUGAAAGGCGGCUUCGGCUGUCACUUAUGGAUGGACCCGCGUCGCAUUAGCUAGUUGGUGAGGUAACGGCUCACCAAGGAAAGGAUGCGUAGCCGACCGGAGGGGGUGAUCGGCCACACUGGGACUGAGACACGGCCCAGACUCCUACGAGAGGCAGCAGUAGGGAAUCUUCCGCAAUGGACGAAAGUCUGACGGAGCAACGCCGCGUGAGGGGUGAAGGCUUUCGGGUCGUAAAACUCUGUUGUUAGGGAAGAACAAGUGCUAGUUGAAUAAGCUGGCACCUUGACGGUACCUAACCAGAAAGCCACGGCUAACUACGUGCCAGCAGCCGCGGUAA
rnacentral:rRNA from 1 species